GAUGAACGCUGGCGGCGUGCCUAAUACAUGCAAGUCGAGCGAACGGACGAGAAGCUUGCUUCUCUGAUGUUAGCGGCGGACGGGUGAGUAACACGUGGAUAACCUACCUAUAAGACUGGGAUAACUUCGGGAAACCGGAGCUAAUACCGGAUAAUAUUUUGAACCGCAUGGUUCAAAAGUGAAAGACGGUCUUGCUGUCACUUAUAGAUGGAUCCGCGCUGCAUUAGCUAGUUGGUAAGGUAACGGCUUACCAAGGCAACGAUGCAUAGCCGACCUGAGAGGGUGAUCGGCCACACUGGAACUGAGACACGGUCCAGACUCCUACGGGAGGCAGCAGUAGGGAAUCUUCCGCAAUGGGCGAAAGCCUGACGGAGCAACGCCGCGUGAGUGAUGAAGGUCUUCGGAUCGUAAAACUCUGUUAUUAGGGAAGAACAUAUGUGUAAGUAACUGUGCACAUCUUGACGGUACCUAAUCAGAAAGCCACGGCUAACUACGUGCCAGCAGCCGCGGUAAUACGUAGGUGGCAAGCGUUAUCCGGAAUUAUUGGGCGUAAAGCGCGCGUAGGCGGUUUUUUAAGUCUGAUGUGAAAGCCCACGGCUCAACCGUGGAGGGUCAUUGGAAACUGGAAAACUUGAGUGCAGAAGAGGAAAGUGGAAUUCCAUGUGUAGCGGUGAAAUGCGCAGAGAUAUGGAAGAACACCAGUGGCGAAGGCGACUUUCUGGUCUGUAACUGACGCUGAUGUGCGAAAGCGUGGGGAUCAAACAGGAUUAGAUACCCUGGUAGUCCACGCCGUAAACGAUGAGUGCUAAGUGUUAGGGGGUUUCCGCCCCUUAGUGCUGCAGCUAACGCAUUAAGCACUCCGCCUGGGGAGUACGACCGCAAGGUUGAAACUCAAAGGAAUUGACGGGGACCCGCACAAGCGGUGGAGCAUGUGGUUUAAUUCGAAGCAACGCGAAGAACCUUACCAAAUCUUGACAUCCUUUGACAACUCUAGAGAUAGAGCCUUCCCCUUCGGGGGACAAAGUGACAGGUGGUGCAUGGUUGUCGUCAGCUCGUGUCGUGAGAUGUUGGGUUAAGUCCCGCAACGAGCGCAACCCUUAAGCUUAGUUGCCAUCAUUAAGUUGGGCACUCUAAGUUGACUGCCGGUGACAAACCGGAGGAAGGUGGGGAUGACGUCAAAUCAUCAUGCCCCUUAUGAUUUGGGCUACACACGUGCUACAAUGGACAAUACAAAGGGCAGCGAAACCGCGAGGUCAAGCAAAUCCCAUAAAGUUGUCCUCAGUUCGGAUCGUAGUCUGCAACUCGACUACAUGAAGCUGGAAUCGCUAGUAAUCGUAGAUCAGCAUGCUACGGUGAAUACGUUCCCGGGUCU
rnacentral:rRNA from 1 species